CGCCCACCUCGGCCUCCCAAUGUGCUGGGAUUACAGGAGUGAGCCACCCGUGCCCGGCCUGAGAACUGUCUGUAUUUAUUAAGUGCUCAGUACAUUCAAGGGACUGAUCUAGGCACCUCCAGAGAGUUAACGGGUGCAGUCCUUGUUCUCAGGGAACUCGUUGUUCAAGUGGGGGAAGGCAGGCGUUACUCAAAGAAUCACAGAAUAGGCUGGGCGCUAUGGCUCAUGCCUGUAAUCCCAGCACCUUGGGAGGCUGAGGUGGGUGGAUUGCUUGAGGCCAGGAGUUCGAGACCAGCCUGGGCAACAUAGCGAGAUCUUGUCUCUCUUAAAAAAUAUAAAGAAAUGGCCAACCAUGGUGGCUCAUGCCUGUAAUCCCAGCACUUUGGGAGGCCGAGUCAGGAGGAUCAAUUGAGGUGAGGGGUUCGAGACCGGCCUGGCCAAUAUGGUGAAACUCUGUCUCUACUAAAAGUACAAAAAAUUAGUCGGGCAUGGUGGUGUGUGCCUGUAGUCCCAGCUACUUGGGAGGCUGAGGCAGGAGAAUCGCUUGAACCCAGGAGGGGAGAUUGCAGUGAGCCAAGAUCACACUGAGACAGAAAUUAAAAGAGAGAAACAGAAUAAAGCAAAGGUUAAGUGAGAAACACUGCACUUCAUCCUGGGCCACAGAGUGAGACUCCAUCUCAAAAAAACCCCCCAAAACCAAAAACUAAACAAAAAAAGCCUGGGCCUGGUGGCUCACGCCUGUAAUCCUAGCGCUUUGGGAGGCCGAGGCGGGUGGAUCACUUGAGGUCAGGAGUUCAAGACCAGUCUGGCCAACAUGGUGAAACCCCGUCUGUACUAAAAAUACAAAAAAUUAGCCAGGUAUGGUGGCACGCGCCUGUAAUCCUAGCUACUCAGGAGGUUGAAGCAGGAGAAUCGCUUGAACCCAGGAGGUGGAGGUUACAGUGAGAUGAGCUCACACCACUGCACUCCAGCCUGGGCGACAGAGUGAGACUGUGUCUCAAAAAUAAAUAAAUAAAUAAAUAAAUAAAUAAAUAAUAAUAAAUAAAACAACCCCCCCCACCCCGCCAAAAUUAGCCAGGCGGAGUGGCGUGCUCCUGUAGUCCCAGCUACUUGGGAGGCUGAGGUGGGAGGAUCGCUGGAGUCUGGGAGGUUGAGGCUGCAAUGAGCAGUGAUUCCCCGACCUGCACUCCAGCCUGGGCAACAGGGUGAGACCCUGUCUCAACAAACAAACAACAAACAAAACUCCCCAAAAGCCCACGACCCCCCCAAAACACACAAAAAACAAAAAGCCACAUGCCAAGAAUUAAUAAGUAACUCUGGAUGAGGGAAUCGGGUCCUUGUAGAGAGGGGAGUUGUUCCAGAAUUGCAGGUGGAGGCACUAGGCACUCCGGUGACCGUGGCGGCGAGAGUCAAGCUGGGAAGACACUUUCCAGGCGCGGGGAGCAAGAUCUCUCAGCCUCCAGGGUCUGACAAGCAGAAGGAGUUUUCAUUAUAUCCUGGCAGUCUGUCCCCCAACCCCCAAAUCGGAUCUAAUUCUGCUCUGCUGAGGCUGGCCUGGCCUGGCCUAAGAGGAUUGGAACAUUUGCUAAAUGGGACUAGGACAGGGUGAGAGAGGCGUCGCUGGGGAGACCCAGGUGCCAGGACGGCCACCAGGGGGCGGCAGAGGACGAGGGAGACCAGAAGACAGAGGGGACAGAGAAGGGCGUGGUGGGGGCGGGGUGGGGGUGGGGUGGGGAGAGGCAGGGAGUGGAUACAGGCAUAUUCCCUGGCUGUUUAGGGAACCACAUUUAAGGGGUUAGAAGGGUGCCAACAUUGCUGAUUUUUUUUUUUUUUGAGACAGAGUCCUGCUCUGUCAGCCAGGCUGGAGUGCAGUGGUGUGAUCUCGGCUGACUGAAACCUCUGCCUCCUGGGUUCAAAGGAUUCUCCUGUCUCAGCCUCCCAAUAGCUGGGAAUACAGGCACCCACCACUACGCAGAGCAUAUUUUCGUAUUUCAGUAGAGGCGGGGUUUCACCGUGUUGGCCAGGCUGGUCUCGAACUCCUGAACUUAAGUGAUCUGUUCACCUCGACCUCCCAAAGUGUUGGGAUUACAGGUGUGAGCCACAGUGCCCAGUCAACAUUGUUGAUUUUUAAGGUUUAUUAUGCGCUGUGGCUCACGCCUGUAAUCCCAGCACUUUGGGAAGCUAAAGCAGGAGGAUCAUUUGAGCCCAGGAGCUUGAGACCAGCCUAGGCAACAUAGCGAGACCCUGUCUUAAAAAAUAAGAAUAAAGUUUAUCAUUAACCUCUACCCUGACUUUCUACUCACUCUCCCCUCUCUGUUCCUUUAGGGAUAAUGGGGGCCUGGAGAGUGGGAAGGGGAGUGCAAGCAUGGGGGUCUGGAGGUGUCUGAUCAACGACCUCAGAGAUGACCUGAGGUUUCCUGAGCUGGGAAUGUUUUGGAAGGGUCUGAACUGCAAGGAAUCUUUGCAGAGUCCUGGGGUCUACCUCUGAUGUGAAGCAUCUUGCAUUUUGGAGCUGUCCAAGUAAAACAUGAAAAAGAAUUUGAUACAGAAUUAAAAAUACAUUUUUGUUUUUU
rnacentral:lncRNA from 1 species